GGAUUAGAUACCCUGGUAGUCCACGCCGUAAACGAUGUCUACUAGUUGUUGGGAGACUUGAUCUCUUAGUAACGAAGCUAACGCGAUAAGUAGACCGCCUGGGGAGUACGGCCGCAAGGUUAAAACUCAAAUGAAUUGACGGGGGCCCGCACAAGCGGUGGAGCAUGUGGUUUAAUUCGAAGCAACGCGAAGAACCUUACCUACACUUGACAUCCAGAGAACUUGCUAGAGAUAGCUUGGUGCCUUCGGGAGCUCUGAGACAGGUGCUGCAUGGCUGUCGUCAGCUCGUGCCG
rnacentral:rRNA from 1 species